UGCAGUCGAANGGGCCANGAGANUUCGNUUUCUUGGCUAGUGGCGCACGGNUGNNNAACGCGUAUGCAACCUACCUUCCAUUGGGGGAUAGCCCGUCGAAAGACGGAUUAAUACCGCAUAACAUCAUUUGAGGGCAUCCGAAGAUGAUUAAAGCCGAGGCGAUGGAAGAUGGGCAUGCGUGCCAUUAGCUAGUUGGCGGGGUAACGGCCCACCAAGGCGACGAUGGCUAGGGGUUCUGAGAGGAUGGUCCCCCACACUGGUACUGAGACACGGACCAGACUCCUACGGGAGGCAGCAGUAGGGAAUAUUGGGCAAUGGCCGAGAGGCUGACCCAGCCAUGCCGCGUGCAGGAAGAAGGCCUUCUGGGUUGUAAACUGCUUUUAUCUGGGAAGAAAACGCCCAUGCGUGGGUACCUGACGGUACCAGAUGAAUAAGCACCGGCUAACUCCGUGCCAGCAGCCGCGGUAAUACGGAGGGUGCAAGCGUUGUCCGGAUUUAUUGGGUUUAAAGGGUGCGUAGGCGGCCCGNUAAGUCAGCGGUGAAAUCCCAGGGCUCAACCCUGGAACUGNCGUUGAUACUGGCGGGCUUGAGUUCGG
rnacentral:rRNA from 1 species